rnacentral:rRNA from 1 species
GAUCAUGGCUCGGGAUGAACGCUAGCGGCAGGCUUAACACAUGCAAGUCGAGGGGCAGCAUAAUGGAUAGCAAUAUCUAUGGUGGCGACCGGCGCACGGGUGCGUAACGCGUAUGCAACCUACCUUUAACAGGGGGAUAACGACUGAGAAAUUGGUACUAAUACCCCAUAAUAUCAUAGAAGGCAUCUUUUAUGGUUGAAAAUUCCGAUGGUUAGAGAUGGGCAUGCGUUGUA